rnacentral:lncRNA from 1 species
UUUUUUCAACAAAGCGAUCACACAAUCAACAGCACGCUGCCUCGGCGCUAUCAAUUUUCCCAAUCACCCAGGUGCUAUCGAUUUCAAUGGCCUAAAUACUCUAGACUGCUGUAACUGUGAAAACCAAGUCUUUUCAUAAAUUUGCUUCGGUUUUGAUCUUUCAAAAUAAAAUAAAAAACGGUGGUUGUUUUUAUAAUAGUUGCUUAUGUUGUUUGAUUUUAAUGGACUUAUCAUAAACUAUAAUUGAAGGUUUAGUGAUGUCAUCAGAUUGAAUCACCAUCGCCGAUUUAGUUUUGCUGCAUUUUAAUUUAUAGCUUUUAUGAUGGCUAUAAAUUGCAAGUGACACCAUCAAGUUGUGGAAGGCUAUGAAUGUGAUUUAUAUUUUCAUAGUUUAAAUUGUAAAUAGAGUACGCAAUAUCAAUUUUGCUGCCAAUAUGAAAUUUCAAUUUGUGUAGUGUACUCACCUAACCAGAAUCUAGAAAAUUGCUUCACAUUAUCCCUUUAUUUGUGUCUCUAUUACGUGACUAUAUACGAGUGAACCUUGUUUUUAUGUGUCUAUUUGCAUAUAUGGGAGUGGUUGCAUAUGGGAGUGGAACGAUUUUAGAUUUUCUCGAACAGUUUAAUCGAUUGUUUAUGCAGACGGAUAAAAGCUUUCUAAUCGGGACUCGGAUGAACACUCAAACACGCAACCGCAACAGUGUCACCCACGACUCAAGACAUGGCGCAAGAAGGAGGGCGACAUACCAGGCUCUAUCAUUGACAGCAAAGCUCGACGAGAACAACAUACCAGCAAGGGUGUUAUACUUCCUAAGUAAUUUUCAGGUCCUCAAGAUUCAACAAACGAACUCAAUUUCUCAUCUCCAUCAGCCUGGUUAUCGGUAAAUGAAGUGGAAUGUGUGGCUUUCUCUCAACGCCAACGACGUCACGAAGAUCCGACCGACAGUGGAGCUCAAUUCGUCACCAUCAUAGUCAUCCUUGUGAACAGGCGGAUAUCAUAUACAAUCAUGUCACGAGAAAGGAACCUGAAUAAAUGCUCAAAGCAGCAAGGACCGAAGCGGCAUCAUUCAAAAGAAAAUUAACGACAAGGUUCUAUAUUCUUGAUCUUUUAUGUAUAGGGCUGAUAUAUGUUUCAAAUACUUCAAAAGUAAUUAAUGACAACUCAGGACUUCAUAAUUUGUCUUUAAUCAAUAUUAUAUAUAUCUUCCAACUAUUUUUGUGGCGCAUAGGUGCAUAUUAAAGAAAACCAUCCAGGUUCUAUAUUUCUUCAAUUAAUUCAUAGCACUUGCUUGGUUUGAUUAUCAUACGUUCCUCUCGGAGCAUAAAUGCUACAC